CCUAUCUCGGGCCGCCGCGCCUAGGCCCGUGAGCAGCCUGUGGUGGGGCAUGGCGGCACAGCCACCGGCGUGCCCGCGAGGCCUCGGGACCCAGACCAGGAUUUCCAUCAGCUCCCCUGGCUCGCAGGCCUUCUGACUUCUGACUCACCAUCAGCUCUCCUGGAUCCAGCUUGCCAAUGGCAGAUCGUGGGACUCCUUGCCCUCUAAUCGCAUGAAACAAUGCCCACAGGGCAGGUCUCACUAUGUUGCCCAUUCUGGUCUUGAACUCUUGGACUCAAGCAAUCCUCCCACCUCGGACUUCCAAAGUGCUGGAAUCACAGGCUUGAGAUACCAUGCCCAGCCAAUUUAUUGUGGUUAAGUAUAUAUAAUAGAAUUUACCAUUUUAAGUGUUUUCAAGUAUACAAUUCAGGGGCACGAAUUACUUUCACAAUGUUGUCCAACCAUCAACACUGUCCACUUCUAGAAUUUUUCAUCAUUCCAAACAGAAACUGCAUACUCCUUAACCAAUAGCUUCCAUUCUCCCCUGCCCCCCAGCCCCUAGUAGCACCAUUCUACUUUCUGUCUCUGAAUUCGACUACGCUGGG
rnacentral:lncRNA from 10 species